UGAACGCUAGCUACAGGCUUCACACAUGCACGUCGAGGGGAAACGACAUCGAAAGCUUGCUUUUGAUGGGCGUCGACCGGCGCACGGGUGAGUAACGCGUAUCCAACCUGCCCAUCACUUGGGAAUAACCUUGCGAAAGUAAGACUAAUACCCAAUGACAUCCCACGAAGACAUCUGAAUGGGAUUAAAGAUUUAUCGGUGAUGGAUGGGGAUGCGUCUGAUUAGCUUGUUGGCGGGGUAACGGCCCACCAAGGCAACGAUCAGUAGGGGUUCUGAGAGGAAGGUCCCCCACAUUGGAACUGAGACACGGUCCAAACUCCUACGGGAGGCAGCAGUGAGGAAUAUUGGUCAAUGGGCGAGAGCCUGAACCAGCCAAGUAGCGUGCAGGAUGACGGCCCUAUGGGUUGUAAACUGCUUUUAUAAGGGAAUAAAGUGGGUCUCGGGAGACUUUUUGCAUGUACCUUAUGAAUAAGGACCGGCUAAUUCCGUG
rnacentral:rRNA from 1 species